CCCUUCUUGCACUGAUCGACGACAGUGUCAUUGACUGGAUCCUUGUUCUUCUCUAACCAGCCGGUUAUAUUGUAAGGAACCUUUGGAGAAAAAAGAGCAACGUUUCAAGAAUACUUGAAGUGAAAAUGACGCAUCCCUAAACCACUUACAGUUCCAGCGUAAUGAGCGAUGGCAAAGUGAGCCUCCUGUUGUCCGGGCUUUGGUGGUCUGGGCUUGACGAAGUUGGGAGACUUGCCCAAGUGGUUGGA